rnacentral:rRNA from 1 species
UACGUAGGUGGCAAGCGUUGUCCGGAAUUAUUGGGCGUAAAGCGCGUGCAGGCGGUCCUUUAAGUCUGAUGUGAAAGCCCACGGCUCAACCGUGGAGGGUCAUUGGAAACUGGGGGACUUGAGUGCAGAAGAGGAAAGCGGAAUUCCACGUGUAGCGGUGAAAUGCGUAGAGAUGUGGAGGAACACCAGUGGCGAAGGCGGCUUUCUGGUCUGUAACUGACGCUGAGGCGCGAAAGCGUGGGGAGCAAACAGG